GUCAACCUGCUUCCAGUCAUUUGUUAAAAAUAUGCAUAAAGGGUGGAAGAAAGAAAUGUAUUUCUUGAAGAGCAACACUGUUGUGCACGUUUUCAAAGGCGAACUUCUUUGCUGGACAGAGAAAAAUGUGUUUUUCCUGCAGAAACCUGGUGUAGCAUCUAUGGAUGGGGCUUGAUUUGGGGCGCUGUCUCCCCUGGGAUUCUUCGUAGGUGGCCACCAAUUUCUCAGGCUGACAGAGCAUAGAGAUGGCGCUGCUUUAGGAGGCUGCCCAGCCGGGGGAUUGUCUGUCCAUUCGGGAUUGCUGAAUGUCAAGGGUCAUUUCCCCAGCCAGACACUUGGUUGUGAAGCAGGUUAUAAGGUAAAUCUUUCAAGGGACUGGAUUGUGACAAGCACUAUAGGUAGACAAUAAAACCCAACAUCCUCAACCAUCUUGUUGAACAAUGGGAGGUUGGCUGUUGGCAUUUGUAUUCAAAUUGGGGUGAAUAGCUAACAGGUUGCUUUGAAAUGCUGAAUUUGUUUAUCCCAUCGUGGGAAGCCCGACAUUCCCUUCAUGGGCUGAAGAUUUAUGGAGCUCUUUUUCAUGGCUCUCAGCAAUGCUUUAGGUCCAGCAGGGUCCCGGCAUUUUCAUGAACUCAAGUUGGGUUUCGGGAGCGGAAGUGCUCUGCUGGGGUUGGUCUCGGGGCUGACCCAGACGGAGGCCGCCUGCUGGGAAGUCGCUGGCUCACGAGACGCUGGAGUUCAUCUACGCCUCCUGGCAACAGCUGAGCACCAAAACAGCAAACAACUGAAAGGGGAAAAUAAAAAAACAACUCCUGUCUUCAGCGCAUACACCACAUAAUACCUCGUCUGGAAAAAAAAAAUCUGGCUAUGUCUUUUGGCUUCAAAUCUUCAUACCUAUUCUGGGAAAACGUACCUCCCUCCGGGGAGUAAAGAAAGACCUGCCCGGGUUGAAGCACCAACUGGUAGAAAUUUUGAAACGAGAUGUGAGGCUUCAGACCUGUGGAACUCCUCCUGAUCAGGUGACUGAGGAUGAACAGUGGUCCUAGUUUGCCUGGGAUGGUCCUGCUCCUGAAACUGACAGUUGUGAGUCCUGAAAAUCCCCUGGGAUGGCUGGAUACCUGCUUGGAAUUAAAGUUUGAGUGAGUCAAAACAACUAAACAACUGGGGAGACACACUUGGUAUGUGUGUAGUUUUCAUAUCAAGUUUUAGGGGUUUAGUUUCUUUUUGGGUGUAGGAUGGAGCCUGCUCACAAUGGCUUCAACCAAAGGGCAUUGAGGUGGAGAAGGCAAGAAGACCUAGAGAAAGGGUAAUAGAUGGAAUAGGUUUUUGCUGCAAGACUUUGUGCUUUGAAGUCAGUUUAUUUUUAAUAGCAGUUAAAUUUAGAUAAUAAGUGAGACAUGUGAGAGCAACAAAGGUUGAGUCUAAGCUUAAGAAAAUAAUAUCUACUAAAAAAUAACAGGAUGGAGCCUUGCUGUAGAGAAUCUUCCUCAAUUCUCAGGCAGACUUACAUAUCUUUUGUGUGUGUGUCCACUACAUUUUACACCUUGUUCCGUUUAUGUUUCAGUUUAUGCUUGUGCAUAUAGGGUCCUGGUGAGGAGAGACAUGUCUCUUCAUUUUGGUGUUUCCAGCAUCAACCACCAUGCGGAAUACAUAGUGGGCACUUAAUAAACUGAAAAAAUUGAUUAGUAAAUGCACACCCUGGGGUAAGCGCAUGAUUAAAGGAAAAUGGAAAGUUUUUACUUUCUCUUUCAUAUUCCUGGUGGAGCAAGAUAUGAAUAUUGGCCUUGCGGAUUUUACUUUUUUUCUUUACAUACAUUUAAUGGAUAUGCAGUUAGUUUAUCUUUUCUUUGCUGAGUUAGAAAAAAUUACUUUCCUCUAACAAUGGGUGGGGAGGUAAAGGUGGGUGGAAAUGGUGAGGGCAUCUUAUCAAGUCAAAACACAAUUAUCUGUCCUGCACUCUGGGCAGAGAUUAGGCAAAUACGUGUCCAUCAGUCCAACCCGUCACUUUUCUCACAACUUAACUGUCUGCUCUCCAUAUGGAUGUGAAAGAACAUUGUUCCAUCUUCCCUAAAUGCCCUUGAUAACUGCCCAGUGGGCUGCCAUCUGUCCAGAUGCCCCAUAAGGACAACAUCCCUGAUAUGCCUUUGGGACCCUGGUAAGUGCAAAGGAGACAGUGGAUGGUGACCUCUCAUGCCUUACGGGAAACUGAGGUGAGCAUGUCAGAAUCCUUUCCUCAGUCCUUUCCUCUCUUCUUCCCUCCUCCUAUCCUCUGUGUGUGUGUGUGUGUGUGUUUCAUUUCAAAAGUAAUGUGUGCGUUUUAUGCACAAAGGCUGAAACUAGCAGAAUGUGGAGGCCCUCUCUUUCCAGAGCCCGGUCUUUUGCCCUGCAGCCCUAGAUGUGAUGGCACGUUUUGUCUUUCCCUCUAGAAUCCUGGAGUUGGCUUCAGGCCUGUGGUCAGCCUCAGCACUGAAACUCUGCCUCUCAGCCACUUCUUUGUGUUUGUGACUCCAUCAGGCUUGAGCUGCCUUGCCAUAUCUGCUUCUCAGCCAGGUGCAUCCUCCAUACUGGGACUUCUCCCUUCACCUUUGCCUGUUGCCAAGAUCCUUGGAGGGCUGCUGCGGGACACCCCGGAUAUAAGCCCACCAGCCUUCUGGCCUGCUGCCUGGAGCAGCUUCCUCGCAAACCUUGAGGCUUCCCGUAAUGCUUUCAUGACCAUCUCUCAUCUGCACGGGUUAAAUUGAAUCUGGAUGCUUUUGGUUGUGAGUCUGGCACAGUCUUAGCCAUCUCAUCUCCAGCCUGAGGCUGAUGCCAAUCACAGAGAAGAUCCAAGUGGAGAAAACUGUAGAAAAGUAUACCAGGAGCCCUGACAUCACCCUCGGGCUGCCCUGUCUUUGGACUUCUUGUUAGUUCAUGCUAUUCUUAGAAGCAGUUGAGCCAGUGGUGGUGGAUUCUAGAGGCUUUGGAUCUUUUCCUUCGUGUGGCAACAACUUAUUUUCCCUGUGGAGGCUCCGUGGUGCUUUUCUUCGGCUCAGUGGCACGGCUGAUGCGACUUGAAUUGCCCCUUCCCUGGGUGCACACACACACACAACGCGUUGGAAACCGAGCAGGCAAAGGGAAAAAGUAGGACCGACCUCAGCUGCUUUAUUUAUAGUUCCCGAAGUGGUGUUUGUUCAACUGCCCUGAACUUUUGUGGAAGUUCAAGUACAGGAACUGUUGAGAUAGAAAUGCUAAUUGUAUUUUUCAGAUGAUUUUUAACUAUGAAGCUAAGGUUCAUUGUUGGCAAAAUGUACUAUCUUUAAUGUGGUCACAUGGAAUUAGUAAAUAUUCCUUCAGCCAGAUUUUAUUGAGCACCUACUAUGCAUGAUGCAAAGUUAUUUACGGUAUAGUUUUUAUCUUCAAGUGGAAGAAAUAAGACAUGCACAUGGAUUUCUCUUAUAAAAAUAACCAGGGAACAUUAUUACCCAAACAGUAUAUAUUAGAAAGGUCAUUUCAUAUUGAACUAGGAACAUUCCAGAAUGAUUCAAUAUGAAGUAAUGUGUGCUUUUGUAUCUUUAAAAUACUCCCUAAUAAAAAUUAAAAACUAUAAAAGCAAAACAAAGAAUACCUAUUUUGAAAUAAUAAAAUUAAACAGGAAAAAAUAUCCCUGUGGAGUUCAGCCUAAAUGAUACUUGAAAUGAAUACAUAUAAUCUCAAUUGCAUAUAUUAGAAAAUGAGAAGGACUGAAACUCAUGAUCUAAGUGCUGAACAGACACAGUGAAAAACAGCAAUGAUGAAACACAGAGCAGGAGGAAGGAAUCAUAAAGAUAAGAUGGCAAUUAAUGAGCUAGAAAACAAAGUAAUAAUACAGAAAAUCAACCAAACUAAAAGCUGGUUCCUUGAAAAGAGUGGUAAAGCAGUGUCUGGCGAGAAUGACCAAGUAUAGGAUGAGGGAAGGCAUGAAAGACGGACAGGACAUGACUACAGAUGGAAAUUUAAGACCUACCAGAGAAUGCUAUGGAAAUGUUCCAGCGAUAUGUUUAAUAACUUAGAGACUAGACAAUUUCCUAGGAAAAUGUCAAUCAUAAAAGUUGAUGAAACAGAAAGAUUGAAUAUACCUGUAAACACAAAAGAAAGGAAUCGAGUUAAUAAUCUACAGUUUUUCUCUGCUGCACUCCCCUCUCCAGAAAACAAGCCAGACAUGGCCAAGAUUACAAAAUCUUCAAAGAACAGAUAAGCACCACUUUUUUCAAAGACUAGAACAAGGAAAACUCCCCAAAUCAUUUGAUAUGUGUAACCUUGCCAAUAAAACUGAACAAGUAAGGAAAAACAAAGCAAGAUUGUAGGCUGUUGACAAUUAUGGACAUGAAUGCAAUGAUCUGAAAGAAAAUAUUAACAAACUAUCUAUCCAAAUUAUUUUAAGAAUACGUUUUUUGCCUAAUUAGUGUUCUGGCCCCAUUGUUGCAGGAUUAGGAAAUCUUUUAAUAUAAUUGUCACAUUUGUACAUUUAAAGACGUGCAAACAUUAUUAAAUAUUGCUUAAAAUUUUAUGUCUAUGUGAAAUGUGAAACAUGGUUGAGUUAUUCUCUGUCUCUGGUGACAGAGGGUGAGGGAUGAAAUGGAGUGCUUCAUUGUCACUAAAAUAUCUUAUUUCUUAAAAAAGAAAAAUAACUGAAGCAGAGAUUCAGUUAAGGCUAACAUUUCCUAGAACCAGUAGAUGAGUCUGUCGGUAAUUAUCAUUUUUCUCUAUUUUUCCUGAAUUUUUGAAAUAGGACAUGACCAAACGUUUUUAAUUUAAGGAAAAAAGAAA